rnacentral:lncRNA from 1 species
GCUUACUGUUUGAAAACGCACAUAGCAGACUGAUACAAAAGGGUUUUCACCUUCUCGUGUGUCACCAUUGCACAAGUUGGGAAACAAAGCUGGGCCCGAUACUGCAAGUUGCACAAUUUUUAAUGAUUACUGCAAAUGCUGUUAAGUUGGUUAUUACUGGCUUUAAUUCACAGGUGAGGAAACUGAGACUUUCAACCAUUCGGACAAAAUAAGAAAAGCUAUGAUGACAUUCCUUGGGUUUGCGUGAAUAGAUUUUUAUCUCUGUGAUUACUAUUCCUUUUGCUCCACUGUUUUCUGGAUGGGGGCCAGAGAGUGGAUCAGGCCUUACUUUCCUGGAACUUAUAUGUCAAGAAGUUUUGCCUUGGAUCUUUCCCAGUCUCCUCCACUGCUCUUCAACUCUGAGCCAAAGAUCUGAGUCAGAAAAAACCCUGUUUUGAUCUGUGUUCUUAAUAAAGGCACUCUGAGACUCAGUUUGUUCAUGUGAAAUAUAGGGUUGUAAUAGAACUUACAGGUUGUUUCCUUGAGUAUCAGAAGAUAAAUACAAAAGUUCUUUGAAAAUCAAAAGUGCUAAAUAUUACUCACUUUUGAUAUGCCAAACAGAAGAUGAAGCUAGAGUCUUGUAACCUGUAGUUUCUGAGUGAGA